rnacentral:rRNA from 1 species
UACGAGGGGGGCGAGCGUUGUUCGGAAUUAUUGGGCGUAAAGGGUGCGUAGGCGGUCCCGCAAGUCCUGUGUGAAAUCUUCGGGCUCAACUCGAAGUCUACACGGGAAACUGCGGGGCUUGAGUGUGGGAGAGGUGAGUGGAAUUCCCGGUGUAGCGGUGAAAUGCGUAGAUAUCGGAAGGAACACCUGUGGCGAAAGCGGCUCACUGGACCAUUACUGACGCUGAUGCACGAAAGCUAGGGGAGCAAACAGG